GACAGAGGUCCCGAGCGUUAGGCGGAAUCACUGGGCUUAAAGCGUGUGUAGGCGGAUUGGUAAGUACCUUGUGAAAUCCCACAGCUUAACUGUGGAACUGCUUGGUAUACUGCUUAUCUUGGGCCACUUAGGGGUUACCGGAACAAACGGUGGAGCGGUGAAAUGCGUAGAUAUCGUUUGGAACGCCAAUGGUGAAAACAGGUAACUGGGAGUGUGCCGACGCUGAGACACGAAAGCCAGGGGAGCGAACGGG
rnacentral:rRNA from 1 species